rnacentral:rRNA from 1 species
AGCGGACAGAAGGGAGCUUGCUCCCGGAUGUUAGCGGCGGACGGGUGAGUAACACGUGGGUAACCUGCCUGUAAGACUGGGAUAACUCCGGGAAACCGGAGCUAAUACCGGAUAGUUCCUUGAACCGCAUGGUUCAAGGAUGAAAGACGGUUUCGGCUGUCACUUACAGAUGGACCCGCGGCGCAUUAGCUAGUUGGUGAGGUAACGGCUCACCAAGGCGACGAUGCGUAGCCGACCUGAGAGGGUGAUCGGCCACACUGGGACUGAGACACGGCCCAGACUCCUACGGGAGGCAGCAGUAGGGAAUCUUCCGCAAUGGACGAAAGUCUGACGGAGCAACGCCGCGUGAGUGAUGAAGGUUUUCGGAUCGUAAAGCUCUGUUGUUAGGGAAGAACAAGUGCAAGAGUAACUGCUUGCACCUUGACGGUACCUAACCAGAAAGCCACGGCUAACUACGUGCCAGCAGCCGCGGUAAUACGUAGGUGGCAAGCGUUGUCCGGAAUUAUUGGGCGUAAAGGGCUCGCAGGCGGUUUCUUAAGUCUGAUGUGAAAGCCCCCGGCUCACCCGGGGAGGGUCAUUGAAAACUGGGAAACUUGAGUGCAGAAGAGGAGAGUGAAUUCCACGUGUAGCGGUGAAAUGCGUAGAGAUGUGGA